AAAUACAAAAAUUCCUCAGGGAACGCAAUGUCAACCAAUUCUAUGAUGUCUGGCACAUAGAGAAAGACUAUACCUGGCUGCACUACAUUACAAUGAGAAUGCCGGGCGUACUCAAGCUACGACAGCAGCUGGUCGACCGGUGUUCAAAGUGACCUUUCCAAAGGCCAAGAAGGGAGAAUACCGGGUCAGAGAAGUAAAGACACAAGCAACAUUCAGAUAUGUGGAUGACCUGCUGGACCUCAUAUUUGAUAAAGUCUUUGUGGAUCCUGCACCAUAUGUGGAUGAUGUUUUU